ACGAAGCUUGCCACCUGCCUACUGGGCUGAGCUUUUAAUGUGAUUUACAUUUCUAAGCUCUAUGUAGGUGCCCUGGAAAUGGUGGUCUUCAUUAAUGCAAAGAUUAAGUCUUUAAUUAAACUUUUUAAGAAGAAAACAGUUUCCAACCUAGAUGAGGAAAGCCGAUGGACAGUCCACUAUACUGCCCCAUGGCACCAGCAGGAGAAUGUGUUCCUUCCCACCACAAGACCACCCUGCGUUGAGGACCUGCACCGCCAAGCCAAGCUCAACCUCAAAUCAGUACUGAGGGAAUGCGAUAAGUUGCGGCAUGAUGGCUACCGCAGUUCUCAGUACUACUCUCAGGGACCCACCUUUGCGGCCAACGCCAGCCCAUUCUGUGAUGAUUACCAAGACGAAGAUGAAGAAACAGAUCAAAAGGUUUGAUUGGGCGUGGUGGCUCACACCUGUAAUCCCAGCACUUUGGGAGGCCAA
rnacentral:sRNA from 1 species